UACAGAGGUCCCAAGCGUUGUUCGGAUUCACUGGGCGUAAAGGGUGCGUAGGUGGCGGGGUAAGUUUGAUGUGAAAUCUCCGGGCUUAACCCGGAAAUGGCAUUGAAUACUAUUCUGCUGGAGGUUUGGAGGGGGGACUGGAAUUCUCGGUGUAGCAGUGAAAUGCGUAGAUAUUGGGAGGAACACCAGUGGCGAAGGCGGCUCAC
rnacentral:rRNA from 1 species